UGUUGAGUAAGGGCAGUGCCACUUUGAGA
rnacentral:piRNA from 1 species